rnacentral:rRNA from 1 species
GACGAACGCUGGCGGCGUGCUUAACACAUGCAAGUCGAACGGAAAGGCCCUGCUUUUGUGGGGUGCUCGAGUGGCGAACGGGUGAGUAACACGUGAGUAACCUGCCCUUGACUUUGGGAUAACUUCAGGAAACUGGGGCUAAUACCGGAUAGGAGCUCCUGCUGCAUGGUGGGGGUUGGAAAGUUUCGGCGGUUGGGGAUGGACUCGCGGCUUAUCAGCUUGUUGGUGGGGUAGUGGCUUACCAAGGCUUUGACGGGUAGCCGGCCUGAGAGGUUGACCGGCCACAUUGGGACUGAGAUACGGCCCAGACUCCAACGGGAGGCAGCAGUGGGGAAUAUUGCACAAUGGGCGGAAGCCUGAGGCGGCAACGCCGCGUGCGGGAUGACGGCCUUCGGGUUGUAAACCGCUUUCGCCUGUGACGAAGCGUGAGUGACGGUAAUGGGUAAAGAAGCACCGGCUAACUACGUG